rnacentral:rRNA from 1 species
GAUGAACGCUGGCGGCGUGCUUAACACAUGCAAGUCGAGCGGAGAUAUUUGGGAAGCUUGCUUUUUAAAUAUCUUAGCGGCGGACGGGUGAGUAACGUGUGGGCAACCUGCCUCAUACAGAGGGAUAAUCAUGUGAAAACGUGACUAAUACCGCAUGUCAUUGCCGAAGGGCAUCCUUUGGCAAGAAAAGGAGUAAUCCGGUAUGAGAUGGGCCCGCAUCUGAUUAGCUAGUUGGUGAGAUAACAGCCCACCAAGGCGACGAUCAGUAGCCGACCUGAGAGGGUGAUCGGCCACAUUGGGACUGAGACACGGCCCAAACUCCUACGGGAGGCAGCAGUGGGGAAUAUUGCACAAUGGGGGAAACCCUGAUGCAGCAACGCCGCGUGAAGGAAGACGGUUUUCGGAUUGUAAACUUCUAUCAAUAGGGACGAAGAAAGUGACGGUACCUAAAUAAGAAGCCCGGCU